rnacentral:rRNA from 1 species
GAGUUUGAUCCUGGCUUAGGAUGAACGCUAGCUACAGGCCUAACACGAUGCAAGUCAGGGGCAGCAGAUCGAAAGCUUGCUUUGAUGCUGGCGACCGGCGAAUGGGUGAGUCACGCGUGUCCAACCUGCCCUGUGCCCGGGGAUAGCCCUUGGAAAUGAGGAUUAACACCCGAUAGGUGGCGCUUCCGCAUGGCGGCGCCAUGAAACCGACACAGGGAUGGGACGCGUCGGAUUAGCUUGACGGCGGGGCGACGGCCCACCGUGGCGACGAUCCGCAGGGGUUCUGAGAGGAAGGUCCCCCACACUGGCACUGAGACACGGGCCAGACUCCUACGGGAGGCAGCAGUGAGGAAUAUUGGUCAAUGGCCGAGAGGCUGAACCAGCCAAAGUAGCGUGCAGGACGACGGCCCUACGGGUUGUAAACUGCUUUUGCGGGAGGAUAAAGGACGCCACGUGUGGCGUUUUGCAGGUAUCCCGUGAAUAAGGACCGGCUAAUUCCGUGCCAGCCGCGGC